CCCAGGGCUCACGGGGAGACCACACCAGGGAGCCGCGCCCAGGGCCUCUGCACCCCUGUUUAUGGGGCCACUUGGGCGGAAGGGGCUUCGGUUCUGUGGGGGGACUUUAGCUCCUCUCUUGCCAACCCCUGGGGGGGCAGCCCGGGGAUGCGACUGCCCCUGUCCCUAGAGUCAGCCCGGAGUCUCCAGGCCAGCCCUGCCCUCAGGCAGAGCCCCGUUUGUCCCUCCAGCUGGUCUGCAGCCCGAAGUCCCCGUGGUGUCAGGCGGCCCGUGUCCCUUGCCCCUGAGGGGUGUCUGGCUCCGGUUCUGGCCUAGAAUUUGGACACCCUGAGUUAGCCACACCUGGCAGGUUCCAGGCGAGCCGUCCCGCGCCGGGGCGGGUACACGUCUGACGCCCAGGCUCCCGCCCUCUCCGGCCCCGUGGCCCCAGGUCACCUGUGCACCGCUCCUGACGAGCCCGGCUGGCAGGCACACCGGCCGAGAGGAGGACGGGACCAGCUGAGCGUUGGUCAAGAAGCGGGGAGCCUGGUUGGGUUUUGUGUCCUGCAGGGUAUACCUGGAGUACCCGGAGCCCGUGAAGCUGCCCAUCACCUUGGUGAUCCUGGGAUCAACACCCUGCUUAUGGUGAAGGCCAACCUGCUGAGCAACCUGAAAGCAGGUGCAGCCCCUCCACCUUCCACAGCCUUUGAGUCUGGAGGAUGUUGUUCUUAGAGGCGUAGGGGAUGGGAGCAGACCAGGAGGACAGGACAUCUCAACACCAAAGCUCAUAGGUCGUCCUCCUCAGGGAACGCUCUGGGCUCCAGGGAUGGGACCUCUGACCCUGGCCCUUCCCCAGUGGGUCUCCAGACUCAAAAAAAAAAAAGAGCAUUUGUCCAAGGUCACCCUGCAAGGACGGGCAGAGUGGGACCCUGGCUC
rnacentral:lncRNA from 1 species